rnacentral:rRNA from 1 species
AAGCUCGUAGUUGAAUUUCGGGGUCAGCAGGUUGGUCGUGCCAAUGGUAUGAACUGGCCUUGCUGAUUCCUCCCUCUUGAUGAGCCGUAAUGCCAUUAAUUUGGUGUUGCGGGGAAUCAGGACUGUUACUUUGAAAAAAUUAGAGUGUUUAAAGCAGGCAAGCGCUUGAAUACAUUAGCAUGGAAUAAUGAAAUAGGACGUUUGAUCCUAUUUUAGUUGGUUUCUAGGAUUGACGUAAUGAUUAAUAGGGAUAGUUGGG